GCCGGCGUGAUUCCGACCGCGGGAGCCGGGAGGAGGAGCCGGAGGUGGCUGCGGGGGGCUCUGGCCCAGGCAAAGGAAGGGCAAGGGGCGGUUCGGGCCGGGGGCUGCGGACUUGACGUCCAGGGCCGGGGAGAGGUCUUUAGGUGAAGCGGACAUCCCCACCUUCUGAUGUAACAGCUGCGAAUCGCGAGGCUGACCUCUCAUCCUUUGGCCUGGAGAUGAGAGUGUCUUAGGCCCAGUGAUAGGCGGGAAGGGACCGGAGGGAGCCACAAGUCUGCACCCAGGCGGGGAGGAAGCGGGCGGGAGCCGCUCCGCAGGCGCAGGCGAGUGGGUGGGAAGGAGGGAGGGAGAGAGGGAGAGAGGGAGGAAGGAGGUGAGGCCGGGAAGAUGCCACUGCCGGGGGCGGGGCGGGGCCCGGGAUCCGGGAGAGGGACUGCAGCGGUGUUUGGUGGGGGCUGGGGCUGCAAUGUCACUUAUUUGAGGGUCAGGUGUGUAUGUCCCAGGCUGGGACUGCCACUUGCUUACAUCUUCCCAGUACCACCCAGGGCGCAGGGACCGAGGCGGAGGGCAGGGGACUGCAGUACCGUCCCCGAAGCGGGACGCGAACCGGCAGACUUGGGAGAAGAGCCUCCGCGCCGGGGAGCUGAGCAUGCUGCCCCCGCGUGCAGCGCCCGCGUGCACCCAGCCCGGAGAGGGGGCGACAGGGCGGAGGCGGUGGCCCCCGGAAGGUGUCUGGGACCGGACCGGCUGCACGUGAGCCCAGCGCGGAGUCAUGUGCACCGGCUCAGCCCGGUUCGGCGGCCGGACGUGCUGCGUAUCAACAAAAUGAAACUCAAGGCGACAGGAGGGCAGAUAGCUCUGGGUCCUCCGAACCCCCGUCUCCGGCAGAACGACCUCCCCUCCGCUGCGGUCUCCCGCCGCAGCCCCUCCGCGCGGCCGGAGCCCGCGGGGCAAGUUGCAGCCCUGGCGCGCCCCCGCCCGCCCGCGCCCCCUCACCGGCCCGAGGGCGCUUUGCCGCAGUCAUUAAUAAAGAAGGUCGCCAAGCUCACCCUUCCAAAAGUUGUUGUUGCAUGCGCCCCUCUCAGCCUCCCCGCAAUGUACUCUUUAAAACAUGACUGACCAACAUGCGCAAUCUCUCUCCCCGGUGCUGUGCAUCCCCCCCCCCCCCCCCGCGCCCUGGCUUCCUAGAACAGGCAGCCAGCAGGAGAGAGAGGGAGCGAGCGAGCAAGAGAGAGAGCGCGAGCGAGGGAGCGAGGAGCGCUGGCAGAUCUGUUGCAAAAACAUAAAAUAACGCCGUGGAGAUGCGCAGGGCCCAUCGCUGGGGGCAGGAUCUUACCUUCCUCCGCGGUGCCCUUCUGAGGGGCGCUGCCCUGGACUACGCGCCGCGGCGGGGGCCGGCGCUGGAAGGAUGCUCCCGAAACCCGGAGCUCCUGGGGCCGGCGCGGGCGGGCGGGGGGCGCGCAUCCAUCCGGGGUCGCGGCGAGGGAGGCUGCCGGGCCCUCGGCGUCCCCGGCCCCGCACCCCUGCUGGGGCGGUCAGCCCGCUGGACGUAAGCCCUUGCCGCUAGGAAUGGGCACAAAGUAACUCCAUGGACGCUACUCACCCCCCUCCCAAAAAAAUAGCCUCCAACUGCGAUGGCCGCGGUCGGCACCAUUCACCAAUCCCCCUGUGUAUGUUUCUGUUUCUUUUUAAACCAAGACUUCCUUGUGAUCUCUUUAGAAAAAAAAUGUGUUGGGGUGGGGGUGGGGUGGGGGCGGGCGGGAGGAGCGAGGGAGGGGGAGUAGCCACUUUUUUCUUAUUCACUCGGAUCUCCACUCCUGACACCCCCCCCCGUCUCCCGCCCCACCCCCCGCCCGGUUGUUUGGCUCCGGCAGCGGGUCCAGGUAGGGUUGCAGGCCUCGGGGGAGGGGGGGGGCGGGGAGGGUGCUCUGCCCGGCUGCCCGUCUGCCUGCACCUCGGGCCCAGACUCCCCAUGGGCUCUGGGGCGCCCCCAGCCCGCCCUGUCCCCAGGGCCGGGCCCGAGCGGCGGCUGCGCCCGUGCAAGUCCCAUCAGGUCUGCUCACACUUCACACACUCACACACAUACCCCGCCCCUCCACUCUCUCACACUUUCUGCUCACACCCCGCCCCCUUCGAGCCCCAGACCCGGGCGGCGCCCCCCGCAACCUUAAAAAAAAAAAAAAAGCAAGCUUAUACUUAAAAAAAUCUUUUGGCGCCAUAUUAAUGACGUACUUAAAAUUUGCCAUUUCUCCCUGCGUCAAAAAGACGUUUCUUUGCAAAUAACAGCCUGAAGGCGACACUCGCGGAGGGAACGAGGUUUGCACCGAGCACCCCGCCUCCCGGGGCUCCAGCGCUGGAAGACCCUCGCCCUAGGCCCUGCUCCCGAAUCUCUGGUUUAAAAAUGCGAACCGAAUAAAUCGCGUGGCGCUCUGCAGCGCCAGAAGUGAGCAGAAAGUGCUGGCAGGAGCGGAGGGGAGGGGCACGCGCGCGAGUCUGGGGGAGGGGGCGCGUCCCUUCUCCCCCACCCACAGCAGAUGGAAACUAACAUCCCGGGCGGGGGAAACUUGAAAUUGCCGGCGACCUCAGGAAGGAGGGGCCGUCCGUGGAGAGGGUCCCUCUCGGGUUCGUUGCCCCCCUCCCCCGUUCGGGUGCCUACAGGCUCCCAGCUCUGCCCCGCAUUUCCGGGGGGUGGGGAACGCAGUGAUGGGUGGGUGGGUAGCUGCAAGUCUCGGCCCCAGUAGGAGUUUGCCCCGAGGUGUUCCCUUCCCCCCUAGCUCGUCCUUCCCAUUCCCCCUAAAGGGUUAAAAACCGAGGGGGCUACUUCCAAGGGCUGGCACUUGGCGAGGAAGCGGGGCGCCCCUCUCCCCACCCUUCGCCUCCUCGCCCCUCCUCCUCCGGCUCCACUUCCCGACUUGACCUUGUGGUGCACAAACAGUGCGCUCGGAUCCUCGCAGUUUCUGGAAGAAGCGCUUGCGCUCGCCAGGCAGGCGGGCUGUCGGGCGGCUCGCGGGCGGUGGCGGGGCCUUGGGUCGGUUCCCAGAGCCGCGGGCCACACCCACCCAACCCGCUGCGCCCGCGGUGCUCACCUUCUCUCGAGGAAGGAGCUGCGCUAGCCUCCUGGAUGGGGAGGUGUCGGGGGCAAGCUGCAGCCUUCUCCCAAUGCUCCCAAUUGGGGAGAGGGUGGUCUGGUCUCAGGCGGGGUUUGUUGGGGAGACCUGGGAACCUGGUUCAACAUCCCCAAAGAUCGUUGCCAACUUUUCCUUCCCCCUCCCUUUUGGCUGCCCCUCAAAGAUGAUCCAAUAAUUUUUGCAACUCACCUUUGGCUUUGAAGGCACAUGGGUGAGUUGUGAACUGGGACAGGAACCGCCUUCCCUCUCCGAGACUGAAGGUUGUUUAUCCUUCCUUUCUUUCCCUUCCACCCCCUUCUAUGGAAAGACAAAUACUCAAUUUACAUAAGAUGACAUUUAUGUGACACUUAAAAAGAUUCCCCCAUGGAAUGUUGUGAACACAUUUGCUUAUAGGAGAAAUAAAUCUAAUAAUAAACUUCUAACAGCACAAAUCCUCUGACGGGUUAAAUGGUCUACACAACAAAGAGGAAGAUGGUGAAUGUGGAAAUAAGCCCUUUCUGCAACAAGAAAGAAAUAUGAGCUCAAAGGGAGUCCCAGAAGCGUUUCUCUUCCUUGGCCUUCUUUCACAAAGUCUGGGAAGGCUUGUUUGGCAAGACUGAGGAACUGGGGUACCACCUCCAGACCUGACUCUAGCUCUGAGUUGGUAGGAUUUUCCCAAGCCUAAACUCAGUGCCAGAAAACAGAUGUCACAAGCUGUUAGCAUGUAACAAAAAUGGUCAAAUACCUGGAUUCAAAUCCUGGCUUUGCAGUUGAGAAGCUACUUGAUGUGGGCAAGCGCAUUCAUCUCUCUGGGUCUCUUUCUUCUAUAGAAUAGGAUGGUUGGAGAGUUCCUGAAGCCGUGUGUAUAUAUACAUAUAUGUAUAUAUGUUUGCAUACAUUCUAUAUGUGUAAAGCAGGGGCCUGGCUCAGAGUGCACAGUGCACAUUAGCACUUUCCCUGGUGUUUGUGUUUUGGAAGGGUGAAUAUGCUCCCUGAAAGCUCUUAACACUGGAAAUACUGGAGAACAAUGAUUUCUAUCUUGUCCUCUAUGAUGACAUAUACAAGAUCUCCCAGUUAGGGCAAAAAGAAGUAGAAGAGAAAAAACUGUGCUAGAUGGUAGGCUUCAUGGUCAAGGUCCAGAUGGCAGUCUUAACCACACAUCUGAAGUGGGAAUGGAGGCACCAAUUUACAGUGGCACAGUCCAAAGGAAGCACUCUGGGUCUAGAUAUAGCGGGUUUACAUACAGGAAAGGACUGGACAGGCUCCUCCUCUUAGCCAUCAAGAUCCUGUGAGCCUUGGCAGGCAGUUAUAAAAUGACCUAGAGAGAUGGAAGAGGGCGAAGAUGACCAUCUCCUGUGCUGUGCACUAUGCCAGUCAUCCCAUUUCAUCCUCAGAAAAAUCCCAUUUUAUCUAUUCAGAAAGGUUUCAUGACUCACCAACAAUCACACGAGCUAGGAAGUGGUGGCAGAGUUGGCACCUGGUUUGGAUGCCCCCAAGAUUAUGUGUUGUCCAUUUUACCAUGCUGCCAGAAUUAAAAGGUUACUUUGCUGUCCUAUGGAGGACAGACUGAAAGCGGAAAGGCUGAAGCUGGAAGACAGGUGAGGAGGUCACUGAAAUAAACCAGGUAAGAGAUGAUGUUAAAGUACACUAGAGUGGUAGCAGGGGAAGUGGUCAAAGUCAAUAUAUUUUAUGAAGAUAGCUUUGACAGGAUUUGUUGAUGAGGCAUGAGAAAACAAGAAUUCAAGGAUGACUAGAGUUUUGUCUUGAACCAGUGGAAAAACAGAAUUGCCAUUAAAAGAUAUGUGAAGACUAUGGAAGGAGUAGAUUCGGGGGAGGAUAAGGAGCUCAGCAUUAAGACAUAGUAAGCUUAAGAUACCUAUUAGAUGUCCAAGUGUAGCCAUCCUAUAGGCAGUUAGAAAUGGUAGCCUCAGCUCAGAGGUAGGUUCGGGGCUGAAGGUAUCUUUUGAGAAGGGUCAGCAGGUGGCUGGUAUUUAAAGCUAUAAGACUGUUUGAAAUCACUAAGGAAUUGAGUGUAGAAAGAGAAGUCCAAGGACAAUGCCCUUGGCCACUACAAGGUUAAGAGGUCUGGAAGAUGAAAAGGAAUCAGUAAGAUGUUGUUAAAAAAGAAAUAUUCAGACAUUUCUCCAAAGAAGAAAUAUAAAUGGCCAAAAAGCACAUGAAAAGAUGCUCAAUGUUGCUCACCAUUAGGGAAAUACAGAUCAAAGGUGCAAUACGGUACCACCUCACAUCCAAUAGGAUGGCUACUAUUUAAAAAAAAAAAACAGAAAAUAACACGGGUUGGCAAGGAUGUGGAGAAAUUAGAACACUUGUGCACUAUCAUUGAGAAUAUAAAAUAGUACAGCCACUGUGGAAAACAGUAUGGCCAUUCCUCAGAAAAUUAAAAAUAGAAUUACCAUAUGAUCCAGCAAUUCCAUUUCUGGAUAUAUAUUCAAAAGAAUUGAAAACAGGGUCUUGAAGAGAUUUGUGUACUUGUGUUCAUAGUAGCAUCAUCCACGAUAACUAAAAUGUGGAAGCAACCCAAGUGUCUGUUAAUGGAUGAAUGGGUAAAGCAAAAUGUGGUAUAUACAUAGAAUGGAAUAUUAUUCAGCCUUAAAAAGGAAGGAAAUUCUGCAACAUGCUACAACAUGGAUGCACCUUUAGGUCCUUAUGCUAAGGGAAAUAAGCCAGUCACAAAAAGAUAAAUACUGUAUGAUCCACUUAUGCGAGAUACCUAGAGUGAUGAAAUUCAUAGAGACAGAAAGAACAGUGUUUGCCAGGGGCUGGAGCAGGGAGGGCAGAUGGGGACUCAUAGUUCAACAGGUACAGUUUCAGUUUUGCAAGAUGAAAGAGUUCUGGAGAUGGAGGGUGGUGACAGUUGCACAACAGUGUGAAUGUACUUAAUAUCAUUGAACUGUACACUUAAAAAUGAUUAAGAUAGUGGGGCGCCUGGGUGGCUCAGUCGGUUGAGCAUCCGACUUCGGCUCAGGUCAUGAUCUCGCAGUUCGUGAGUUCGAGCCCCGCGUUGGGCUCUGUGCUGACAGCUCAGAGCCUGGAGCCUGCUUCCGAUUCUGUGUCUCCCUCUCUCUCGGCCCCUUCCCCGCUCAUGCUCUGUCUCUCUCUGUCUCUCAAAAAUGAAUAAACGUUAAAAAAAAUUAAAAAACAAUGAUUAAGAUAGUAAAAUUUAUGUUAUGUGUAUUUUAUCACAAUAAAAAAAUUGGGGGAGGGGUGCCUGGCUGGCUCAGUCAGUGGAGCAUGGGACUCUUGUGUGUUUGAGCUCUACUGUUGGGUGUAGAGAUUCCUUAAAAAUAAAAUAUUUAAAAAUAAUAAAAAUAAUUUUUUUUUAAUUGGGGGAAAAAAGUAAAAAGAAAGCAGUGGCAUCCAGAGAGAUAGGAGGAGUGUCUUAGAAGACAAGAUAAGAGUGUUUCAGGAGGGAGGAAAGCUCUAUGUGCAAAGCUACCAAGAGGAAUGAGGUUAGAUACAGACUGACGAUCAUUAGUUUCAGCCAUGUUGAAGUCACUGGUGAUACUGAUAAGAGCCACAUCAACACACUGGCAUAAGUGAAAGUUUGACUGAGUGGGCUCAAGAGAGAGUGGGAAAGUUUAUAGUUGUUAUACCUUGUUCCAAGAUUCUACUUGAAAAUGAGAAGUCCUCUGUAUAUGUAUGUUUAUAGAAAUAGAUAAUCAUGUAUCUGUAGGAAUUCAAUGCAAAUGAUUUUUAUUGAGAGUCUUCCAGGUACUAGGCAUGUUUAAUGGAUUCUACAGAUAACUGAGAGAAAGAAAACACAUUAACUGCCUUCCAAUAUUUCACAAGAGUUCAUAAUCUAACAAACUUUGUGGACACAAAGUGAUGUAUAUGGCUAAAUACACACAGUCAGACCCAGCAUCAAUUUUUUCAGUGUAUGCCUAAAACUGUGGAUUCCACAUUCAUAUGGUCUUAGGAUAGAGUCCUGUCCCCACCAUUCACCAGCUCUGUGACUUUGUACAACCUCUGUGUGCCUAAGUUUCCUCCUCUGUAAUUAGGGAUGCAAUAAUUUCCAAACUUCAGUGUGCCUGGUAUGCUUGUUAAAAAUGGAGAUUUCUGGGAGUGCCUGGCUGGCUCAGUCAGAAGAGUUUGCGACUCUGGAUCUCAGGGUCAUGAGUUCAAGUCCCAUGUUGGGUGUAGAGAUUACUUAAAGAAAUAAAACUUAAAUUUCUUUAAAGUUUUAUUUAUUUUAUUUUUGAGACGGGCAGGGGGUGGGGCAGAGAGAGAGGGAGAGAGAGAAUUCCAAGCAGGCUCUGUGGAACCUGACGCAGGGCUUCAUCUCACAAACCAUGAGAUCAUGACCUGAGCAGAAAUCAAGAGUCUAAUGCUCAACUGACUGAGCCACCCAGGAGCCACUCCCCACCAACCCUCAAAUUUUUUAAAAUGUGGAUUUCCAGGUGCCUGGGUGUCUCAGUUGGUUAAGUGUCAGACUUUGGCUCAGGUCAUGAUCUCUCAGUUCAUGAGUUUGAGCCCCGCAUCUGGCUCUCCGCUGUCAGUGUGGAGCCUGCUUUGGAUCUUCUGUCCCCCUCUCUCUCUGCCCCUUUCCUGCUUGUGCUGUCUCUCUCUCUCUCGGUCUCAAAAAUAAAUAAACAUAAAUAAAAUAAAAUAAAAUAAAAUAAAACAAAACAAAAUAAUAAAAUAAAAAUAAAACGUGGAUUUCUAGGCUUUAUCCCUAAAGGUUCUCAACGGGCAGGUCUGGGGCAAGUCCCAAGGAUAUGCAUUUUUUAAUAAGUACCUGGUCAUGCUUGAUGCCCUUGGCCUUGAACCACACUUUGUAAGCAUUGGCCUGGCACUCAGUAAUUGCUCAUCAGACAAUAGCUGUUCUUCCGGGGGUCCCUACUGGGAACAAAAGUUCUAAUCCCUUGUGAUUUAUAUCCAGAACCACAGGUCCAGCAUACCCUAAGCACCCUAAAUGUAGAAAAGAGCAUGAGAAUCAUUCAACAUUUAUUUGUUGAAUGCUUACUCUGUUCUAACAGUGUUCAAGGGCUGGAGAGACAAACAAUAUAUGACUCAAUAAUUUGUUUGAGUCAUCAGGGUAGGCAGAAGCCCCACAUGAAGUUAGCCACACUCUCCAGCAGCCAAACUGUAUCAGGUGAGAAGUCCUAUGUUCACUCACUAGCUGCUUAAGGCAGUACUUGUACAACAAUAACAUGAACGUGAAUCACCUGGGUUCCUGUUUACAUGAAGGUUCUGAUUCAUUAGGUUUGGGGCAGGGCCUGAGAAUCUGCAUUUCUAACGGGCUGUUAGAUGAUUUGGAUGGUGCCAGUCCAUAGAUGAUACUUGAUGUAGUAGAGUUAGGAAAACUGGAUCACAAUACUUGUCCUAACAUUAGAGUUCCUGGAGACUUUCUGCAAAUCCUAAAGGGACAAAAUGAAAUCUGGGAAGAUCACACAUGUGAGCUUUGCUCACCCUUUCUUCCAUCUCCUCUGUUUCUGGAAUCUGAUCCUCACCCUCCCAAAUAUAGUCAGUGCUACUAGGUGACCUCCUCUAAGGGAGGGUGAACAUUCAUUCUCUUGGUCAUUCAGUAAAUAUUUCCUGGCUGCCUACUCUGUGCCAAGCCCUAUGCAAAGCGCAUAACUUGGCAUUCAAGAGAGGACAGAUCCAGCAGCUCUGCCUCCUAGGCUCCAGGCAGGGGCUGCAGGUGGGGUUUGGGCAGAUAGGAAAACUGCCCAGGGCUGCAUCUGUGGCUUAAGACACUGCCCUGGCAAGAGCCAGCCUUGCUACUUUCUGUGGUGCUACAAACACAUGCCUGGGAGAAGCACCCCUCUGGAGCCUUUGCCAGCUGGUUUAGAGAUGGUACUGACCAGCCGUAGGAGAUGUCUGGAUGAUGUGCCAGCCUGGCCACCUGUCUCUUCUCAGACUCUCAGACACAGCCCAGUGGCCACAGAUGGCAGAAGGCAAAGAAGAUCCCUGGGGCUUCUAAACACUUCCCCAGAAACUGGCAGCAGGCAGUAACUCCGGCCAAGUCAGGGGCCAGCUUGACCAGACACUCAUCAAAGUGUGAGACUCCCCGCGUGGAGCUGAGGGACCCGGCUCUGUCCAAGAACCAUCAAGAACCAAAGGCGCUGGCUCCAAGUCAAGUUGAACAGGGAAAGCAAAACCCUUUCCUUUUCCCCUAGGGUUUCUCUCUUUCUUUCUUUCUUUCUUUCUUUCUUUCUUUCUUUCUUUCUUUCUUUCUUUCUUUCUUCCUUC